UCAGCAGCCGCGGUAAUACGUAGGGGGCAAGCGUUGUCCGGAAUUACUGGGCGUAAAGGGCGUGUAGGUGGGUAAUUAAGUCAUGGGUGAAAACUGCAGGCUCAACCUGGAGGCUGCCUAUGAAACUGGAUAUCUUGAGGGCAGGAGAGGAAAGUGGAAUUCCUAGUGUAGCGGUGAAAUGCGUAGAUAUUAGGAGGAACACCAGUGGCGAAGGCGACUUUCUGGACUGACCCUGACACUGAGGCGCGAAAGCUAGGGGAGCGAACGGGAUUAGAUACCCCGGUAGUCCUAGCCGUAAACGAUGGGCACUAGGUGUGGGAGGUAUCGACCCCUUCCGUGCCGGAGUUAACACAUUAAGUGCCCCGCCUGGGGAGUACGGCCGCAAGGUUGAAACUUAAAGGAAUUGGCGGGGGAC
rnacentral:rRNA from 1 species